rnacentral:rRNA from 1 species
UCGAGGAUCUUCGGCAAUGGGGGAAACCCUGACCGAGCGACGCCGCGUGCGGGAUGAAGGCCUUCGGGUUGUAAACCGCUGUCGUAGAGGAGGAAAUGCAGGGGGGUUCUCCCCUUUGUUUGACCUAUUCUAGGAGGAAGUACGGGCUAAGUUCGUGCCAGCAGCCGCGGUAAGACGAACCGUACAAACGUUACUCGGAAUUACUGGGCUUAAAGGGUGCGUAGGCUGCGCGGAAAGUUGGGUGUGAAAGCCCUCAGCUCAACUGAGGAAUUGCACUCAAAACUACCGUGCUCGAGGGAGACAGAGGUAAGCGGAACUCAAGGUGGAGCGGUGAAAUGCGUUGAUAUCUUGAGGAACACCGGUGGCGAAGGCGGCUUACUGGGUCUCUUCUGACGCUGAGGCACGAAAGCUAAGGUAGCAAACGGG